GGGCGAUUAGCUCAGCGGCUAGAGCGCUUGCUUCACACGCAAGAGGCCAGAGGUUCAAACCCUCUAUCGCCCA
rnacentral:tRNA from 1 species